AACGAACGCUGGCGGCAUGCCUAACACAUGCAAGUCGAACGAGACGUCCGGGUCUAGUGUCCCACGGUUGCGUAAGGCGUGGGAACAUGCCCUCAGGCUCGGCAUAACUCUCCGACGGGGGUGCUAAUACGGGACAAUGUCUUCGUACUAAUGAUGUAUUGCCUUUGGAUGGGCCCGCGUUGGAUUAGGUCGUGGGUAGGGUAAAAGCCUACCAAGGCGUCGAUCCAUAGCUGGUCGGAGAGGAUGAUCAGCCAGACUGGGACUGAGACACGGCCCAGACGCCUAGGAGAGGCAGCAAUGGGGAAUAUUGGACAAUGAGCGAGAGCCUGAACCAGCAAGGCCGCGAGAGUGAUGAAGGCGUUAGGAACGUAAAGCUCUUUUACCGGGGAUGAUAAUGACAGUACCAGAAAAAUAGGCUCCGGCUAACUCCGG
rnacentral:rRNA from 1 species